rnacentral:lncRNA from 1 species
UGACAAGCUUAAAUGCAGAGUGAGCAAUGAGAUGGGAUCCAGCCACUUUCUUGGAGGAACACUAAGUCUAAGAUGUUCCUGGACUGUGGGAAGAGGCUGGAGGGAGUAAUUUUCACAGUCUGGCUAAUUGGCUCUGUUCCAUGGCCACAGUCAUCCAACCUAACCUGGAUAACUCAUAGGCACUUCAGGAAUAUACACAGAAAAUGAAAGCCCAUUGUUUGAACAGAUUUCAUUAAACGAGAGCUCUACUUUAAGAAGAAGAAAAAAAUUGUAGACUACCAGAUGUUAUGGAUCUACAG